rnacentral:rRNA from 1 species
AGUGAACGCUGGCGGUAUGCCUAACACAUGCAAGUCGAACGGAAACACAGUAAGAUUUCUCUCUUAUGGGUGGCGAGUGGCGGACGGGUGAGGAAUAGAUCAGAAUCUUCUUUUUCGUGGGGGAGAUCGGAGGGCAACUUAUGCUAACACCUCAUAUAUUCUACGGGUGAAUGCAGGGGAGCUUGAGACCUUGCGCGUUUGAAUUAGCCGAAGUCGUAUUAGCUAGUUUGCGGGGUAAAGGCACACCAAGGCGACGAUCCGUAGCUGCUCUGAGAGGAUGAUCAGCCACACUGGAACUGAGACACGGUCCAGACUCCUACGGGAGGCAGCAGUCGGGAAUAUUGGACAAUGGGCGGAAGCCUGACCCAGCCAUGCCGCGUGAGUGAUGAAGGCCUUCGGAUCGUAAAACCCUUUUAUUGGGGAAGAACAGCAGCGGGAUAAUACCCGGCUGUUCUGACGGUACCCAAUGAAUAAGCACCGGCUAACUACGUG